rnacentral:rRNA from 1 species
GAUGAACGCUAGCUACAGGCUUAACACAUGCAAGUCGAGGGGAAACGAUAGAGAAAGCUUGCUUUUUCUAGGCGUCGACCGGCGCACGGGUGAGUAACGCGUAUCCAACCUGCCCAUCACUUGGGGAUAACCUUGCGAAAGUAAGACUAAUACCCAAUGACGUCUCUAGAAGACAUCUGAAAGAGAUUAAAGAUUUAUCGGUGAUGGAUGGGGAUGCGUCUGAUUAGCUUGUUGGCGGGGUAACGGCCCACCAAGGCGACGAUCAGUAGGGGUUCUGAGAGGAAGGUCCCCCACAUUGGAACUGAGACACGGUCCAAACUCCUACGGGAGGCAGCAGUGAGGAAUAUUGGUCAAUGGGCGAGAGCCUGAACCAGCCAAGUAGCGUGCAGGAUGACGGCCCUAUGGGUUGUAAACUGCUUUUAUAAGGGAAUAAAGUGAGUCUCGUGAGACUUUUUGCAUGUACCUUAUGAAUAAGGACCGGCUAAUUCCGUGCCAGCCGCCGCCGUAAGAC